UAGGGAAUAUUGCAAAAUGGGCGAAAGCCCGAUGCAGCAACGCCGCGUGGGCGAUGAAGGCCUUCGGGUCGUAAAGCCCUUUUUGAGGGGAUGAGGAAGGACAGUACCCUCAGAAUAAGCCUCGGCUAACUACGUGCCAGCAGCCGCGGUAAAACGUAGGAGGCGAGCGUUAUCCGGAUUUACUGGGCGUAAAGCGCGUGCAGGCGGAUUGGAGAGCAGGAAGGGAAGGUGGAAUUCCGGGUGUAGUGGUGAAAUGCGUAGAUAUCCGGAGGAACACCAGUGGCGAAGGCGGCCUUCUGGACUGCAUCUGACGCUCAGACGCGAAAGCUAGGGUAGCAAACG
rnacentral:rRNA from 1 species